UCACGUCCAUUGUCCCUUUCA
rnacentral:miRNA from 1 species